GAUGAACGCUGGCGGCGUGCCUAAUACAUGCAAGUCGAGCGAACAGAUGAGGAGCUUGCUCCUCUGACGUUAGCGGCGGACGGGUGAGUAACACGUGGAUAACCUACCUAUAAGACUGGGAUAACUUCGGGAAACCGGAGCUAAUACCGGAUAAUAUAUUGAACCGCAUGGUUCAAUAGUGAAAGACGGUUUUGCUGUCACUUAUAGAUGGAUCCGCGCCGCAUUAGCUAGUUGGUAAGGUAACGGCUUACCAAGGCAACGAUGCGUAGCCGACCUGAGAGGGUGAUCGGCCACACUGGAACUGGGACACGGUCCAGACUCCUACGGGAGGCAGCAGUAGGGAAUCUUCCGCAAUGGGCGAAAGCCUGACGGAGCAGCGCCGCGUGAGUGAUGAAGGUCUUCGGAUCGUAAAACUCUGUUAUUAGGGAAGAACAAAUGUGUAAGUAACUAUGCACGUCUUGACGGUACCUAAUCAGAAAGCCACGGCUAACUACGUG
rnacentral:rRNA from 1 species